rnacentral:ncRNA from 2 species
UUCGUCCGACAGGGGAGCGCACAGCGCUGAGAGUGCGGAUCAUCCGCAGACCCUCGUACCUGAUCUGGGUAAUGCCAGCGCAGGAAGUUCGGUCUUUCUUCAG